rnacentral:rRNA from 1 species
CCUACGGGGGGCUGCAGUCGAGAAUCUUCGGCAAUGGGCGCCAGCCUGACCGAGCGACGCCGCGUGGAGGACGAAGGCCCUCGGGUUGUAAACUCCUGUCGAGGGGGAGCAAGGCCGCGCGAAGAGCGCGGCUUGAGCGAUCCCUGGAGGAAGCACGGGCUAAGUUCGUGCCAGCAGCCGCGGUAAGACGAACCGUGCGAACGUUAUUCGGAAUCACUGGGCUUAAAGCGCGUGCAGGCGGCCCGGCACGUCCCUCGCUGAAAGCCCCCGGCUCAACCGGGGAAGGGGCGGGGAUACGGCCGGGCUGGAGGGGGGUAGGGGGAGCCGGAACUCACGGUGGAGCGGUGAAAUGCGUUGAGAUCGUGAGGAACGCCCGUGGCGAAAGCGGGCUCCUGGGCCCCGCCUGACGCUGAGACGCGAAAGCCAGGGGAGCGAACGGG